UUGGCCAUCGAUUGUAGCACAUGGUGUGGU
rnacentral:piRNA from 1 species